GAUGAAGAACGUAGCGAAAUGCGAUAAGUAAUGUGAAUUGCAGAAUUCAGUGAAUCAUCGAAUCUUUGAACGCAUCUUGCGCUCCUUGGUAUUCUGAGGAGCAUGCCUGUUUGAGUGUCAUUAAAUUCUCAACUACACUGACUUUGAAUUGGUGUGGCUUGGAUUUGGGGGGAAAAUUGUUGUGGGCUUUUUGUAUAGUCUGCUCCCCUGAAAUUGAUUAGCGGUACCUUUGUGGAACUGUCUACAGGUGUGAUAAUUAUCUACAUCUUAGACAUCUGCUGGAAUGCUGCUUUCUAAACCUUACUUGUAUUGACAAUCUUGACCUCAAAUCAGGUAGGACUACCCGCUGAACUUAAGCAUCUCAAUAAGCGGAGGA
rnacentral:misc_RNA from 1 species